UACCUGGCUGUGGUGUUGGUCAGUAUUGGUCAUAAUGAGUUCAUAGGAAUGUGUCGUGUGGGCAGUGACGCUGAGGGUCCUGGGAGGGAGCACUGGACUGCCAUGCUGGCCAACCCCCGCAAGCCCAUAGACCACUGGCACCAGCUCGUCGAGGAAAAACUUGUGGCCUCAUUUGUGUCAAAGAGUCCCGCAGCCUCUCCCAAGCCUCACAUCGUGGUGGACAGUCCUCACUCUGAGUAGAACUGUUAUUAUCAUCUUUCCAGUUCCAGACUUUCCUUUCAUUCUGCUCAUCUGUGAAUAAUUCUCUCCAUCAAACAAAGAGAGAUAAGGAGACACAUCGACUGCUACUGCUGUUCUACUGCUACUGCUGAAUAUUCCAACUCCUGUCCUGUCGCAACGAAGCACAGGA